UGUCACAACUGGGCCAAUUAGUCUAUCUCAAUUUAAUCGAUUUUAUUUUUAGAAUCUGUCAAAUUUUGUAGAAAAUACAUAUUUGUUUAUCUCAAACGAAAUGUGGCUUUCCUCCCCGAGGGAGGGGGGGGGUGGGGGUGCUACCCGACGGGGACUGCUGUUUCUCUAAACUUAAUCUCCUUACCUUUCACAUCCAUCUAAUAAUGAUUUGGAGUUGAGAGCAAAAUAAUGUUAUCUAUCAGACAAAUAAUGUUAUCUAUCAUAACUUCCUGUUACUAUGAUAACCAGGAAGUAUCUCGAAUUGCAGUCAAUUCUGAUUGGUCACUUCAGUUGAGUACGUGUUUUUGAAUUCAUGAAGAUGGAGUUAAGUCAGUUUAUACAUUCUUGGAAGGUAGUUUAGCAGUAUUAUCCACUAUGGAGAAUGUCUCUACUAAAGUUAAAAACUCAAGUGUUGAGUGGUGUAAGGAAGUAUUUUGUUUGUUUGAAAGCCUUACUGUGUCUGUGUGGCAGUUGAUUGAACAGAAAAUUACCGGCUUUCGUCAAAGAUUUUGUUAUUGUUAUAUCUCUCAGCAAGUGUAAAACUCCGAAAAAAGUUAGUACAAGCCAACGUGAUUCAAUAUUUCAAGCUUGAUUUGUUCAACUGCAGAAUUCACACUAUCUGAUCUUUUAGCAAGAAUUUUAAUUUAGCUUGCUACCAUCGGACAUGAAAAAGCAUCUUUGUGGACAGCUACUUCAAUAUACAAAGAAUGCUGGUUAAUGCAUGCUAACACACAAGAAAAUAUCUGGCACAAAUUAAAGACCAGUUGGAACUUGGACCAAUUGAAAACCAUUUAGAACUUGGAUCAAUUAAAGGCCAGUUGGAAUUGGGACCAGUUGGAACUGGGAUCAGUUGGAUUGUCCAAAAACACAACACCAACUGGUCCCAGUUCCGACUGGUCCAACUGGAAUUUGGGACCAGUUGGAACUGGGACCAGUUGAAUUGUCCAAAACCACAACCCGCAACUGGUUCCAGUUCCAACUGGUCUAACUGGAAUUUAAAACCAGUUGGAGUUGGGACCAGUUGGAACUGGGACCAGUUGAAUUGUCCAAAAACACAACACGUAACUGGUUCCAGUUCCAACUGGUCUAACUGGAAUUUUCACCUGGGUUGUAUCAUUAUUAAACGAUGUGAUGCACAUUGUAAGUUAUCAGGCCGAACGUGUUUGUUUAUUUUAAUGAAGGUCUUUGGGGAGAGGUGAAAGCAUACUUAAAACAAAUAUAAAGCCACAUACUGUAACGGUAUCGGAAACAAUAUACGGUACAUUUUUGUAUAGUCUCUAUUCAUUUCUAGUUUUGGAACACUGUUAGACAGAUAAUUAGCCAAGAUGUGUUUGAACUUUACUUGGAAAAAAACGUACAUGCAAUUUUAGUCGAAGCACGAAACUUCUAAAUCUAUAUUUACCAGUGGCGUAUGUAGAGAGUGUGGUGAGGCUUAUUUUUCGACCGAGCGCACCUCACUUAAUCUUUUUUUACAUUCGCAUCCUUUCCCUAUCCCACAUCAUGGGCGGCGGAAGCGGGGGGCCGGGGGGCCCGGGCCCCCCACUUUUUGGCGAAAAAUAUAUG
rnacentral:lncRNA from 1 species